UCCCUGGUGGUCCAGUGGCUAAGACCCCAAGCUACCAAUGCAGGGGGCGCAGGUUCAACCCCUGCUCAGGGAA
rnacentral:tRNA from 1 species